GCCGCUGUAGCUCAGCUGGUAGAGCGCCGGCCUCGUAAGGCUAGGUGUCAGUGAAAGCCGGCGGUCGCGGGUCCGAGUCCCGCCAGCGGCU
rnacentral:tRNA from 1 species